rnacentral:rRNA from 1 species
AUGCAGCAGCGCGCUCCCGCCGAGCGCUCCACAGCGGCGUCCCUGCACGCGCACGUCCUCCACCUCCACCAAUGCGGCGCCGCCGGUAACCUCCUCCGCCGCGCGCACGCGGCCGCCCUGACAUCCGGCGCGCUGGCCGCGUCCCUGCCCCUCGCGGGCGCGUUCAUCCUCUCCUACGCCGCGGCCGCCGACCUGCCCUCCUCCCGCCGCCUCCUCCUCCACCACCCGCUCCGCCUCCGCUCGGCCUUCCUCUGGAACUCGCUCUCCCGCGCGCUCUCCUCGGCCUCCCUCCCCGCCGAGGCCCUGCGCGUCUACAACCUCAUGCUCCGCUCCGCCGUCCGCCCGGACGACCGCACCUUCCCCUUCGCCCUCCACGCCACCGCGGCCGCGGCCGCCGACGCCGCGCACGCGGCCAAGGGCCUCGAGCUCCACGCCGCCGCGCUGCGUACGGGCCACCUCGCCGACGUCUUCGCGGGCAACACGCUCGUCUCCUUCUACGCCGCCUGUGGCUCCGCCCGUGACGCGCGCAGGGCGUUCGAUGAAAUGCCCGCCCGGGACGUCGUCUCCUGGAACUCCCUCGUAUCCGCGUUCUUGGCCAACAGGAUGUUCGAUGAUGCGAGGUGGGCGUUGGUCGGUAUGAUGGGGAGCGGGGUCCCUGUGAGCGUGGCGAGCUUGGUCUCGGUUCUGCCUGCUUGUGGCGUGGAGCAGGAGCAGGGGUUUGGGUUGGCUCUGCAUGGACUGGCGCUGAAGACCGGGCUGGACUCCGUGCUCAAUCUCGGAAAUGCAUUGGUUGAUAUGUACGGGAAGUUUUGUCAAGUGGAGGCAUCGAUGCAGGUGUUUGAAGUAAUGCCAGAGAGAAAUGAGGUUUCUUGGAAUUCUGCCAUAGGUUGUUUUCUUAAUUCAGGGCUUUAUGGAGAUGUGCUGGCCAUGUUUAGGGAAAUGUCAGAGCGUGGAGUCAUGCCAGGGUCUAUCACAUUAUCAAGUCUGCUACCUGCUUUGGUUGAGCUUGGUUAUUUUGAUCUGGGGAGGGAGGUACAUGCGUAUAGUAUAAAGAGAGCAAUGGACUCAGAUAUUUUUGUUGCCAAUUCACUUGUGGAUAUGUAUGCCAAACUUGGUUCUCUGGAGAAAGCCUGCACUGUUUUUGAAAAGAUUGAGGUACCCAAUGUGGUGUCAUGGAAUGCAAUGAUCGCUAACCUUGUGCAAAAUGGAGCUGAGACUGAGGCAUUCCGUCUUGUUAUCAAGAUGCAAAAGGAUGGGGAACGGCCAAAUUCGAUAACCCUGGUGAAUGUACUUCCAGCCUGCUCAAGGAUGUCCUCUCUAAAGAUAGGGAAACAGAUCCAUGCAUGGUCGAUCCGUACAGGAUUAGUAUUCGACUUAUUCAUAUCAAAUGCUUUGAUUGAUAUGUACGCGAAGUGCGGGCAGCUGAGCUUGGCGCAAAAUAUUUUUGACUUGUCAGAGAAGGAUGAUGUGUCAUACAACGCGUUGCUUCUGGGUUAUUCUCAGAGUCCAUGGAGUUCUGAAUCUCUUAAUCUAUUUAAGGAGAUAAGGUCUGCGGGAAUCGAGUAUGAUGCUAUUUCUUUCAUGGGUGCUCUGACUGCAUGUACCAAUUUAUGUGCAUUUAAACAAGGGAAAGAAAUUCAUGGUGUUUUAAUAAGGAGAUUACAAAGUAAUCAUCCCUUUCUGGCCAAUUCACUGCUAGGUUUGUAUACUAAAGGUGGAAUGCUUGAUACUGCAACAAAGAUCUUCAAUAGGAUUACAGAGAAGGAUGUUGCUUCAUGGAAUACCAUGAUCAUGGGGCAUGGAAUGCAUGGCCAAAUUGAUGUUGCUUUCCAUUUGUUUGAUCUGAUGAAGGAUGAUGGUGUUGACUAUGAUCAUGUGUCUUACAUUGCAGUGCUGUCGGCAUGCAGCCAUGGUGGGCUUGUUGAGAAAGGAAAACAGUACUUCAGUCAAAUGCGUGCCCAAAAUUUAGAGCCACAACAAAUGCAUUAUGCUUGCAUGGUUGAUCUUCUUGGGCGUACUGGACAACUGACUGAAUCUGUUGAACUAAUCCUAGACAUGCCUUUCCAUGCCAAUUCCGAUGUGUGGGGAGCACUGCUUGGGGCUUGCCGAAUACAUGGAAAUAUUGAAGUAGCACAAUAUGCAGCAGAACAUUUGUUUGAGUUGAAGCCAGAGCAUUCGGGUUACUACACACUGCUGAUAAACAUGUAUGCCGAGGCUGGUAGGUGGAAUGAAGCAAACAAGAUCAGGAAAUUAAUGAAAUCCAGGAAGGUACAAAAAAAUCCAGCCUAUAGCUGGGUACAGAGUGGCAACAAGCUACAAGCUUUUCUUGUGGGGAAUGGUUAG